rnacentral:rRNA from 1 species
AGCUCCAAUAGCGUAUAUUAAAGUUGUUGCAGUUAAAAAGCUCGUAGUUGGAUUUCGGAGCCGACCGGGCGGUCUGUCGAGAGACACGCACUGCACGGUGGCUCUUCCUCUCGGAGGCCCUGGCUGCCCUUAACUGGAGCGGGCAGGGGAUUCGGGACGUUUACUUUGAACAAAUUAGAGUGUUCCAAGCAGGCCGUUUGCUUUGAAUACAUUAGCAUGGAAUAAUGGAAUAGGGCUGCGUGGCUUGUUUCGGCAGGUCCUCGUGUCCUAUUUUGUUGGUUUUCGGGACCGCAGUCAUGGUCAAGAGGGACAGUUGGGGGCAUUCGUAUUCAGUUGUCAGAGGUGAAAUUCUUGGAUUUACGGAAGACGAACAACUGCGAAAGCAUUUGCCAAGGAUGUU